rnacentral:lncRNA from 1 species
GUCUCAGCUCGAGCAUUCCUAGCGCCAACACGCCCUCAGGUAAAGGUGGAAGUAAAUGGCCACGCUGUAUUGACAGAGGUAGGGUUUGUUUUUUAAUACUCGUUCUCACUUUAAGUCUCACCAGGGAGGGGUUUGGGAAGCACUGCGUGUUUGGGGGACGUUUUGCGCUUCCUGGUCUCUCCAGCCUACAAGUCGGGAGUCGGCGACCGCUUAGUGACGAGCGAUGAUUUUAAAGAGCAGAAUAAAAGGUUUUCCCGUGCCUGCCCCACAGCCCCUCCAGCUCGAAUAAUGGAGAACUGUCAAUGCACUCCGCGAGCGGUGGCCCAUUGUACGCAGCUGAUGGCGAGGAGGCGACUGGGGGUAGCAGGGGCUCCUUGCCCUCGUCCCUAUGCCCAAAUAAACGCGCAAACGCGCUCCCGUCUUCUGGUCAGUUAAAAGGUGAAACGAACACGAUUAAAAUAGACCAAAAGAAAAGAAAGAAAAGAAAACCUUUCUAUGUACAGAUUCUAAAUCGUACUCCCCAUACAGUCAGAGGCAGGGAGUCGAGGGCAGAGGCAGCAGGCGGAGAGAGGGAGAUAGGGCGAGGGAAGGAGAACGCGGAGAGAGACGAAGGGAGUGGGAGACCAGCGACAGCGAGCGCCAGGGCACCGCAGGCACACUGGAUGCCCAGUCCGCCGGCCCAGCCGCCCUCGGACCCUGGACCGUGCGUCGUGGGCACCAGAAACGAGACUCGGCCAAAUCCUGCCUCACCAGCAGGUAGAUGAAACUCAAGAGAAAAGGUGUGGAUAAAUGAAACUAGCCCAUGAUGAACCUGUUUUCUCCGUGACCACAAUAUUAACCAGGAUGAAUGGCGGUGGCAGUGGGCCUGCAUCACAGGUUGCAGCAGAUGUUCUCAAUAUUUCUAUUAAAAUUUCCUUAUUUCCAUAUGCAAGAGGAGCCCCAGAGCUGCAUCCUUAUGGUAGCUACCAUGCCGUGAUGUAAGCUGCCAUUCACUGGGGAGCUUUGGCAAUAGAAUUGGCUAGAUCAGGAAGCCUAUGUCAACUAUGGAACAACAACUUGCAGCUCAUCUCUAUUGAUGGUGAAACAGUCGCAAAUGGAAUUCCAAGAAACAUUCUAUAUACACUGCCUCUAGGACUGGGACAGAUAGCCACUGAGUACCUGCUUCAAAUCACCCUGCACGUUUUCUCUUUGGAAAGAUAAGCACUGGAGAACCAUCUCGUUACCUUCAGCAGAAAUGGAAACAAAUCAAGACAUUAAGAAUGCCGCAGUGGACAGCAGUUAUGCAAGGUUCAGCAGAGGAAGUUUUCAAGAUGGUGUGCCUCACUAGCCAGAAAUCAGAAAAGAUCGAAGCUAGCCUUUUCAUCUCAGCUGCUCCUUAAAUCAGUGCAACCCCUCCAAAUUAAUGUGAAUUGAAACUUGCAUUGCUUUUCAACUUAAUUGAAUACUUACUAUAUGUGAACCACUGCACAAAAUAGGGGAAGAAGAUGUGGGAGACAAAGAUGUGGAGCCUGUCUUCAAUAAAUUUACAGUUAGUUUCAGGGUACAUUGUUUUUCUUCUGCUGUUAAUUAGGUGUAUCCCCAAGACAAUAAAUACAUGAAUGGAAAAGUAUAUUCUGUGUUUUAAGUCUCUUUAAUAAAAAACAAAACAAAAUCCAAAAAAACUCCUAACAUGGCAACUCAGGACAUUUUAAUCCUUUUUUUUGUUGUUGGGCUUCUGAUAGGAUCCAUUUUAUUGAUUCCAUAAAUAUUUAGUAGACUUUAGACAUAUUAAUACAUUGUAGUUUGAGUUAAUUUGCAUUAAAUUCUGUUUUUUUCCCCUUAGGUAUAGAUUGUCUGUUGGAAAAAUAUAUUGCUUGUGGAUUUCUUGGGGAGUGGGAAGGUGAAUUAUACCUGUUGUCUCUACAGUCCACUACCUUCCACACCCUAGGGCAGUGGUCCCCAACCUUCUUGGCACCAGGGAUCAGUUUCCUGGAAGACAAUUUUUCUGUGGAUGGUGUGGGGAUGGUUUUGGGAUGGAACUGUUCCACCUCAGAUCAUCAGGCAUUAGUUAGGCUCUCAUAACGAGUGCGCAGCCUAGAUCCCUCACAUGCACAGUUCACAGUAGGGUUUGCGCUGCUAUGAGAAUCUAAGGCUGCCACUGAUCUGACAGGAGGCAGAACUCAGGUGGCAAUGCUUACUGGCCCACUGCUCACCUCUUGCUGUGCGGCCUGGUUCCUAAUAGGCCAUGGACCCCCACAGACGGGUACUAGUCUGCAGCCUGUGGACCCCAGCCCUAGGGGCCUGCCAUUCUGAGUGAGUUAUUAGCAUGAAGAAGAGGAAGAUCUGGAUCAAACGUGGGUGAUGGUACUCAGAGACCCAAGAUAGGAUAGGGAUGGAACAAAAUCCAUCUGGGCAACGGCUCUAUGAAAAUUUGGCUAAGUAAUUAUUUCAGUAUUCAUUGUAUUCAUUGUCCUUCGUGUUCCAUAAGUUAAAUGACUGUCUAAUUUUUCCAAAAAUUUAUUUCUGACUUGAGAAUAAGUGUGUCAUGAUUUUCCCAGUGUAAAGACACUGAUAUAACUGUAGAUACCAGACAUUUUAUGUAGUGUCUAUGACACAUUUUAGUAUGUAUGAGCCAACAAUAGACAUGUCUUUGUCUUGAGGAGUGUCCAUCUGAAUUGAAAAUGUGUCAGCUUUUUUUUAACAUCAUCAACAGACUUCUUAAUUAAGCUGCCAAUACAUACUGCCAAUAGCACUGUGUGCUGUCUGAGAAAUGCAUUGUGUAAGUGCUAUUUCCAUCUUAUUAAAUAAACAAUGUUGCUCUGUAUAAACUGGAUUUAAAGUGUUCUUUGAAUGAGGCAUUAUAUUGCUCCAUAAAUAAUGUGAUGUGAAUUCUCAUAUGAUCCCUUUUAACUUAAUUUCUAAAAAAAUAUUAUUUGCUCCUCAGUAAGGAAUAGCUCUAAUUGGACUGGUAACUUUAGUGAUAUGAUUUGUCUGUAACAGGCUGAAUCGCCCCACUCCCAAACUCCUGGUCGUGAUACUGGAUAUUUGUUAUGCCACUUUUAGUUUGCAUGAGGUAUCUUCCAGGAAGUAUUAGUUAUUAACUUGUGUUCUACUAAACUGUAGAUAUUUAUUUCCUGUUCUGGAAGAUUUCUUGGAGUGUCCAUCUGUGCAUUCCUGGUGCCUAGUGUAGUCUUGCUAAUGGAAUAGCACCUUUAUUGGUGCUACUUAGGGGUUGGUAGCUUACAAUCAAUCUACUUGGAACGUAUCCAAAUAAACUGGAUAUUUUUAUACA